GCCAUGCCGCGUGCGGGAAGAAGGCCUUCGGGUUGUAAACCGCUUUUGUCAGGGAAGAAAAGACUCCUACUAAUACUGGGGGUUCAUGACGGUACCUGAAGAAUAAGCACCGGCUAACUACGUGCCAGCAGCCGCGGUAAUACGUAGGGUGCAAGCGUUAAUCGGAAUUACUGGGCGUAAAGCGUGCGCAGGCGGUUAUGCAAGACAGAUGUGAAAUCCCCGGGCUCAACCUGGGAACUGCAUUUGUGACUGCAUGGCUAGAGUACGGUAGAGGGGGAUGGAAUUCCGCGUGUAGCAGUGAAAUGCGUAGAUAUGCGGAGGAACACCGAUGGCGAAGGCAAUCCCCUGGACCUGUACUGACGCUCAUGCACGAAAGCGUGGGGAGCAAACAGGAUUAGAUACCCUGGUAGUCCACGCCCUAAACGAUGUCAACUGGUUGUUGGGAGGGUUUCUUCUCAGUAACGUAGCUAACGCGUGAAGUUGACCGCCUGGGGAGUACGGCCGCAAGGUUGAAACUCAA
rnacentral:rRNA from 1 species